rnacentral:misc_RNA from 1 species
GUGAGUCAUCGAAUCUUUGAACGCACAUUGCGCCCGCCAGUAUUCUGGCGGGCAUGCCUGUCCGAGCGUCAUUUCAACCCUCGAACCCCUCCGGGGGUCCGGCGUUGGGGAUCGGCCCUUUACCGGCCGGCCCCGAAAUACAGUGGCGGUCUCGCCGCAGCCUCUCCUGCGCAGUAGUUUGCACACUCGCAUCGGGAGCGCGGCGCGUCCACGUCCGUAAAACACCCAACUUCUGAAAUGUUGACCUCGGAUCAGGUAGGAAUACCCGCUGAACUUAAGCAUAUCAAUAAGCGGAGGA